rnacentral:rRNA from 1 species
AAUGGACGAAAGUCUGACGGAGCAACGCCGCGUGAGUGAUGAAGGUUUUCGGAUCGUAAAACUCUGUUGUUAGGGAAGAACAAGUGCGAGAGUAACUGCUCGCACCUUGACGGUACCUAACCAGAAAGCCACGGCUAACUACGUGCCAGCAGCCGCGGUAAUACGUAGGUGGCAAGCGUUGUCCGGAAUUAUUGGGCGUAAAGCGCGYGCAGGCGGUUUCUUAAGUCUGAUGUGAAAGCCCCCGGCUCAACCGGGGAGGGUCAUUGGAAACUGGGAAACUUGAGUGCAGAAGAGGAGAGUGGAAUUCCACGUGUAGCGGUGAAAUGCGUAGAGAUGUGGAGGAACACCAGUGGCGAAGGCGACUCUCUGGUCUGUAACUGACGYUGAGGCGCGAAAGCGUGGGGAGCGAACAGGAUUAGAUACCCUGGUAGUCCACGCCGUAAACGAUGAGUGCUAAGUGUUAGAGGGUUUCCGCCCUUUAGUGCUGMAGUAACGCAUUAAGCA